GAUGAACGCUGGCGGCGUGCCUAACACAUGCAAGUCGAACGGAAGCUUAACGCUGACGAGACUUCGGUCAAAUCUUGUUAAGCUUUAGUGGCGGACGGGUGAGUAACGCGUGGGCAACCUGCCUCAUACUGGGGGAUAACAGUUGGAAACGACUGUUAAUACCGCAUAAGCGCACAGUGUCGCAUGACACAGUGUGAAAAACUCCGGUGGUAUGAGAUGGGCCCGCGUCAGAUUAGCUAGUUGGCGGGGUAACGGCCCACCAAGGCGACGAUCUGUAGCCGGACUGAGAGGUCGGACGGCCACAUUGGGACUGAGACACGGCCCAAACUCCUACGGGAGGCAGCAGUGGGGGAUAUUGCACAAUGGAGGAAACUCUGAUGCAGCGACGCCGCGUGAGUGAAGAAGUAUUUCGGUAUGUAAAGCUCUAUCAGCAGGGAAGAAAGGCUCGCAAGAGAGAUGACGGUACCUGACUAAGAAGCCCCGGCUAACUACGUGCCAGCAGCCGCGGUAAUACGUAGGGGGCAAGCGUUAUCCGGAUUUACUGGGUGUAAAGGGAGCGCAGACGGUCAAGCAAGUCUGAAGUGAAACCCCACGGCUCAACCGUGGGCUUGCUUUGGAAACUGUUUGACUAGAGUACUGGAGAGGUAAGCGGAAUUCCUAGUGUAGCGGUGAAAUGCGUAGAUAUUAGGAGGAACAUCGGUGGCGAAGGCGGCUUACUGGACAGCAACUGACGUUGAGGCUCGAAGGCGUGGGGAGCAAACA
rnacentral:rRNA from 1 species